GAUGAACGCUAGCGGCAGGCCUAAUACAUGCAAGUCGAACGGUGUCUUCGGACAUAGUGGCGCACGGGUGCGUAACACGUAUGCAACCUACCUUACAUUGGGGGAUAGCCUUUCGAAAGGGAGAUUAAUACCGCAUAAGACAGUAGCUGGGCAUCCAGCAGCUGUUAAAGAUUUAUCGAUGUAAGCUGGGCAUGCGUCCAAUUAGCUAGUUGGUGAGGUAACGGCUCACAAAGGCAAUGAUUGGUAGGGGAACUGAGAGGUCAAUCCCCCACACUGGCACUGAGAUACGGGCCAGACUCCUACGGGAGGCAGCAGUAGGGAAUAUUGGGCAAUGGACGCAAGUCUGACCCAGCCAUGCCGCGUGCAGGAUGAAGGCGUUAUGCGUUGUAAACUGCUUUUAUACAGGAAGAAACGACUCUUGCGAGAGGCAUUGACGGUACCUGAAGAAUAAGCACCGGCUAACUACGUGCCAGCCGCCGCCGUAAUAC
rnacentral:rRNA from 1 species